AGCAGCUGUGUGCUCUCACUGAGUAUUACCAACCAUUCCUUGCCCUGUAUAAGAGGAAACCAUAUGAUGUUGCAGAAAGCUGGCAGGACCUGGCCCU